UUAAGGUCCACAGGGAGAAGGUACACGAAGGCACACACUCAUCCAAAGUGGGUGGGCUGGUCAGCUGGUCUUAACUGUCCAGAUCAUCCGGGACUUCUGCUAAAACGCUAGACACACACACAAACACACUUACACACAGGCACAGGCUCUCGCACACAUCCCACCAACUGCACGUGGAUGGUCGAUGGUGUAAAAAAACAAAUACAAAGAUUUCCUCGAAAUUAUUAACCAUUCGGUUUAUUUUGUUGAGUAAUUAUGUUCCAAUAAUGUUUAACGUUUGUCAUGCUAACUCAAACUCACUCUCCCAUGAGCCCCUUUCCCACCAAAGUCCCUCCCACACACACACACGCGCACACACACUCUGGUCAGCACGCAGGAUUCCAGGAGAGAGUGGGAGAGCGAGACCGAGAGAGAUGGAAACAUUGAAGCGAUGGAUAGUCGGCGGAGGGGAAAGAGGGAUGGAUGGGUAGAGCAGAGGGAGGGAGAGGAGGAGUGCGGGAGGAUCGCCCAGGUGGUCCGCGGUCCCGUGCCCGCCGGGCAUGGCUCUGACUAGGGUGGUGAACCUUAAACCCCCGCAGAUGGCAUCAUCACGACCAGCCCUGAUUAGGACGACCGCGUAUGAUUAAAUAUAAUUACCUCAGCGGCGCAGGAGAACGGGGAGGAGGGGGGAGGAGGAAGGAAGGACUUAGCUGUUUCCUUGUCUUUGGGGGGGAAACGGAAAGUGGGGAGAGGGUGAGAACAAGGGAACGCAAAAGAGAACGGAGGAAAGAAAGAAUGAAAGAAAGAAGGAGAAUUGUGUGAGCUGCUGAGACAGAACUAAGAAAGACAGGGAGAGAAAGAUUGUGAGUGCAACCGAGAGAGUGAAGAGAGAAAGACCGAGCCAAAAGAGGAGGCCAAACGUCAUCCGAGGACUGAGAGCGUUCGCGCGCACGAGAGAGAAAGCGAGUUUGAAAAGGCGCUCGGGCGAGGGUGACAAGAGGGGGAAUACCAGCGAGUGGGCUCUGGUGUUUGGCUUUCUUUGAGAGGGAGCAGGUCUGUGCAUGUGCGGACAGGGCUGCACUAGGGGUGUGAAGGGGGAGGACAGCAGGGUUCAGGCCUCCCCCCGUCACCAGCACAUGAUGGAUGGUCGAGGCUCAACGCUUAAGUCAACAGACCCUGAGCCUGCCCUCACCCGCCUGGCCUCCUCACGGCUCCGGUGAGGGGGUCAGGUGCUUCGGAACACCCCGGGGAACUGCACCCAUUAUCUGAUCAAAACUGCAGCUCAGGAGGGAAGACAGCUCAGCUCUUCAAGCAGGGCUGGAUGGCUCUGCGAUGGGUGCCAUGGCUCGACAGCGGUCACGGCUCGACAGGCUUCCCUGAAGCUGCUCCGGCUCCUCCAGACCCCUCUGGUUCCAGACCCCUCUGGUUCCAGACCCCUCUGGUUUCAGACUCCUCUCAUACCGCAUGCAGACUGCUCCAUGCAAGCGGGCAUGCAGCCUCCAGGACUGGAACUGGCUGUCCCUGCCAGAGAGUUAUCUCCAGCCCUGACCCCAUUUCCAGCCCCAGUUCCAUCCCCAGCCACAGCCCUGGCCCCACGCCCAGCCUCAGCCCCAGCCCUGUUUUCAUCUCCAGCCCAGCCUCAGCCCCAGCCUUGUCUUUAUCGCCAGCCCUGGCCUCAUCUCCAGCCCUGGCCUCAUCUCCAGCCCUGGCCUCAUGUCCAGCCCUAUUUUCAUCUCCAGCCCUGUUUUCAUCUCCAGCCCUGUCCUCAUCUCCAGCCCUGGCCUCAUCUCCAGCCCUGUUUUCAUCUCCAGCCCUGGCCUCAUCUCUAGCCCUGACCCCAUCUCCAGCCUCAGCCGCAGCCUCAGCCUAGGACCAGGAUGUUUGUGUUAGAAAAUGACUGUGCCUCUCCCAGUGCUCCUUCUCCUAACAGCCCCGGGGUAAUUGCUCUGCCCAUUCCAGCACUUAGCAAGGAAAAGCCAGAGUCAUCUUACUUUCACGCUAUAUGCACAUAUACUACUACUACUACUACUACUACUACUAAUACUGCUAAUAAUAAUAACCAUAAUAUCAUUUUAGGCUGCAGACCACAGACUGGAAACCAAAACAAUUUACCCAGAACACUGGAUGGUUAAGAAAUGAUUAAACAUUUCCUAAUGUAAUUGGAAAUGAACAAACUAAAUCAACACAAACUGUACUGAGAGCUGUCAGCUAAAUGUAAAUAUCAUAUCUAUAAUUGUAUAAUCACAAUGAACCUUGGGUAAAAAGAGAUAAUAGAUUUCCUAGCAACCUAGAGUAACAGUAAGGGAGGGAGGGAGGGAGGGAGGGAAGAAGGAGGGAAGGAAGGAAGGAGGGAGGGAGGGAGGGGAGAGGGGGGGGAGGGGUGUCCCUCCCCAGCCCCCCGUGGGCUACUCUUCCAGUCCGCUCUGGGACCAGUAGCGUAAUGAAACGCAGAGCACUGCAAAUCAGGACGGGGCAGAUUCACUGUGGCUCUUCCUGUGAGGUAGAUGGGUGGGGGGGGGACCAUCACCUGUGCUCACACGUUAUGUAAGAGUGCUCCUGGACUCCGGAGCACUCCACUGACAGGCUUCACUUACCAUUGCAGUCACAUUUUCCUACUUUUGAAGACAUUAACAUCAAUACUCAAAACUCCCCCCCCUCCCCACCCCAACCCCCUUGGCCCCCUCGCUUUAGCAAAGGCCCGCCGGCCUGUGUGUUCCUGCAGAGGCUUCUGGGAGACUGUUCUGGAAAAAGCAUCUGUCAGGCCUCUGAUCACACAGACAUCCAGCUGAGCGCUUCCUUCAUCUGAGGACUGAUAACUCUCUCCAUCCCUCUCUCCCUCCUCCCUCUCUCCAUCCAUCCUGGCUUCCACCAGUUCAUCUCUCUCUGCCUC